AUUGUCUCCAGUUUGGGACAAUCACUCAAUUACAGAGGAAGACGAAUGGUGACCCUGAAGAGGCACAUCCUCAUUUAAGAAAAAAGAAAGAUGUCGAGUCCAGUCAAUCUAAGGAUUGUUUUUGGUGGGGAUGAAGAUGCAAGAAAGCUUGCACUUAAGACAGGAAUCCCAAAGUCUGUGGAUGAACUUGUCCUUGAAAUAAUGACUGUUUUUGGUGUAAAGCAAAAUUUCAGGCUCCAGUACAAAGAUAAGGACUUUGGAAAUGAAUACAUGAAUCUCACAUCAACCACUCAAAUUGAAGACAGGGAUACCCUGAAAGUGAUUUUUCUGUCAACUGAUGACUUUAACUCCUGCAUGCAUGAGACUG